UUUCUUUCACCCUCUGUAGAUUCGACAUGGCUUGGUGUUUCCACACCUUGAAACUACAAGAGCGAAUCUGAAAGUUAGUUCAAAAAGUCAAAGGGGUUCACAGCAGCGAAGAGGUGGAGACAACACGAAGCCCACCGGUGGAGGAGUGGGUGGACAACGUGUGGUCCACCAGAUGAUGGGGUGUUCUGCACGCGAGGAAGUGAGUCCUGAUGCAGCGACAGGUGGAGGUGCUGGCUGCGAUGCAUCGGGAAUGGAUCAGACGGCACUGAAUUGUCCACCGUAACAAGGCUGAGUUUGUUAUGUGAAUUUCACUUCAAUACAAAAAAAAAAAAAAAAAAAAUUGCCUCCACCUUUCUUUCCA